ACUAAUUGAAAAAUAACUUAUGAAAAGUAUCAAGUAAUUUCAAAGUAAACUAAGAGGAUUUUGAUUACCUUGUCGUCGAAAGCCGUUAAGGUGUAGCUUGCCACAUCGCCUUUGUUGGUUUGUGCCUCGUCUUCGGAUGAGCUCGAUUCGUUCUAGAGUGCUUCCUUCUUCUUGCAUUCAUAGCAAGUAGUUGCAUUCUUUUUAAGUUUAUUUUUAUUCUUUGAUUCUUGUUUUAUAAUUUUUUAAGCUUUAUU
rnacentral:lncRNA from 1 species